UUGGACCUUCAGCAUCUCUUAUCAAUGUCAUUUACGUGUCUUUCAAUUAUUUACUUGUACUUCUACGUGUACGCCGAAGAGACAUCAUUGUAGGUGUUUCCCUUUCUUUCAAGAGUUUCUUUCGGGUCUCCCGGAAAUCUCCAUUUGCUCUUAAAGCUCUCUUUGUUUUGUUCUUGCUGGGUGUAGGUAAAAGUGUGUUCCUCUUUUAAUUUUUUCUCAGAUCUUCUUCUCUUUUCUCUUUUUUUGUCCUUUCGUAAUAUUUUGGGUUGUCUUCGUACUUUUUCUCUUCGUCGUUUUUCUUUAGGUGCUUUUCCCGGUUCUAUGAAUACUUUUUAAUUUUGCAAUUUCAUGGUUAUCAUGUGCUAAAUCCGACUGUGUGACUGGGAGUAGACGGGAAUUAGCGCUAUAAAUUUUUCUAAAAUACAUAAUGGUAUUGAAAGAAGACUCGGAGGUUAGUAAAUGUUUACUGGCUUAAUCUCUUUCUUCGACGGUCCUCUUCGAUUUAGUGCUUUGUUUUGUACCUUUUGGGCAUUUUAUAUUUUCCUUCGUAAUUUUUUUCUUCAUCUAUUUGAGGUAGGACUGGUGCAGUGAUAAUUCAUCCUUUUGAUUAAGCGUUCGGAUGAGAGGCAUGAUUGAAUUAAUUAACAAUGAUCCUUUUUGUUGAAUUAGUAGUGUUGUUUUGUGCUAUGAGUAUUGUGGCUAGAAGUUGCAAGGUCUCGAAAUGUAUCUGAUAUCUUUUAUCCGAAGUAGCAAUUGAACUUUUUGGUACAUAACUGAUGCUUUUCAAUAAUAACUUUCUGAGUCUCAACCAUUGGCUUUACCUAUCUGACCAUGUUUGUUUGAGUAAAUUCAUUUGAUUUAGACUUCUUUCUGAAAAUUUUAAAUUGGAAAAAAAGAAGAGGGAUUUUGUCUAUCACUGUUGUUUGAUGUUUUGAUCUAGAAUAAAUAGUACAUUGAGCAGUUAAGCUAACAAAUACUUGAUCUUGUCCAGCAUGGUGGAGAUACUCAUGAGUAACUUGGUAGUUAAUUAGUCAUCGCAUGCAUAUGACUUGCCUCUAGCACUUGAAUUGAUGUAAUUUUUCAUUUUUGUCAACCUUUUGGUUGCAAUUGUCCAUUAUUGAUACUUCAUUUUUUAUUGUAUUUAUCUUCUUUGUUAUUAUUACAGUAGUUACAUUCUGUUAUGGUAGUUGUUUGUUCGUGCGCAACAUUUCAUAGUGUGAUAAGUAUUGUUAUUCUACUCCUUAACUUCUUUGUUAUUUUGAGAAGGGCCCGACAUCUCUCGAUCCUCAUCUUGUCGAUUUAAAAAAUGAUUUAUCCAUUUUAUUCAUUUCAGGCUUCUUAGUCAUAUUUGGAGGCAUUUUUCAAUUAAAAGGUAAUGUUUUCUCUCAUAUGAUAUUUUAUGUAUAAAUAUUGUAUGUUUAGCUGAGUUCUUCCAUUUCGAAACAAUCUAAAAACUACUUCAAGUGAUUGUUCUUUGUUGAUUUUGUCACCUGUAAAAGAGGUCUUCUACUAUUCUUUUGGUUCCUUGUUGUGUUUGGUUCCUUUAUAUAUGUAAAUAGUAGGAGUAAUAUUUAUCAGUUAAUAUAGUGUUGCAUC
rnacentral:lncRNA from 1 species